GUUCAUUAGGAGCAGAAGGGUCUUAGCUAUGCCAACAGUCCUUUUGACUGGGCAGACUUGAGGCCAGCCAACCCUGUUCCAAGGCUAUAACCCUUUAAGGACAGGCAUUUUGGGACCAAGCUGGCAUUCCUGCUGGAAAAUGGGGGCAGGACUACAUAAAGUAAGCUCUUUACUCAUUCCAGGUGAGAUGAAAAUUGAGGUAAGAAUGGUGUUUAAGGUAUCUCACCUGGGUCCAGAGAUACCUGGGAGAAGAGUAGCCAAGUAUCAGAGACCCAGGGAGAAAGCCUACAGACAGAUAAUGUAGAAAGUGGUCUGGUGAGAAGUAUGAUAGGGUUGGGAGUUUGGGGGCAGCAACCCAUCGUGGUAUACAAUUUGCAGGGCCUGAAUCUGGGCCCCCCUGCAGUGAUAUCUAGAGGUGGCAUGGGCACUUCUACAAACUAGGGGAAGGAAGCUGUGGUUCAGAGAGGGCAAAUGCUAUUGCACCCUGCAAAAAGGAGAAGGUGGGGAAGCUCUGGCUGUAGGGCAGACCCAGUAGAGACUGGAGGAAGAGUUGGUGUCUUUUUUUUUCCCCCACUUUGGUUGGACUCUGAGUCAAUUACCCAAGAAAGGGGGCACUUUUUGGCUCAGCAGCAGGCCCAAAGCACUAACUUGCCAAGUACCUGAGGUGUGGAUGAGGCACCAGUCUCCUGUCAUCUGACUAGGUCACCGAGUCUUUCCCUCCAAGCUUCACAUCAGCCCAGAUUUCCUUGAAACGCUGGCAAUCUGGCCUGAGAUUUUGAAGUCCUACCUGCUGGAUUAAUCCAUGCCUGGGGACUCAAGGUUGGAGGCUGUGGGGCAACUCUGCCAGGUUACCUGCCCUGACUCCUGAGAACUGGCUGCCUGAAAUCCCAGCAGGCUGCCACAGAGUGGCAAAAUAUCAGAACAAGACACUAAGUAUUUGUUUUGUUCUUUCUUUUUCAGAUUUGUGCUUUGGAGAAUUUCAAAGUUUUGUUUUCAUUCCAAAUCAGAAUGAAAAAUUUUGAAGUCUCAAAAUCCUCCACAAAAUGGAAUGAUCAUUUGCCACCCAGCUCUAUUCAUUAGUCACUUAAAAUUGCUGCAGCAGUAGAGGUGGAGCCAAGCCUUUACCUUGUAUGGGAAAUCUUUGGAUUUAGAAUCGCCUGUGGUACUUUUACUUUUAUAUCUUGCCUUAGCUUUUGGGGAUUCUUUUUCCAUGUCCUUUGGAAACUCCAAUAUUAUCUUCUCAUAGAAAAAUUUGCUUGCUUUUUCCAUAACUGGUGUUUCUUAUGACAAUAUUGCCUGUGCUAUACAAUGCCAGUGAAUUCUCAACACAUCUAUAUCAUCCAAAUUGGUCAAGCCUUAGGUGGCCAUCUGGACAGCACACUAACGUAAGUUAUUGCAACAGAACAAGAAAAUCAGGCAAAACUCAAGUUUUAAUUUUUCACAGAUUCAUGCAGAUGUUUUCUUUCAGUUCAGUUGCAGUGAAUGUGACAUCUCAAUGUGAAACUCUGUUGAAACAAUCAAAACUCCACAAAGCAGCUAAAUUCCAAUUCUUCUUUCUUAUCCUACUGCACCCUUUCAGUGCAUAGGGCAUCCAUUCUGACACUUAUUUUGGUCUUGUACUGCUCUGUUCAGGCUUCUGAGUGUCAUGUUGAUGGAUUUGUUUUCUUUCUGUAUUGUUCUGCAUAAUGUUUCUCUAGGUCUCCCUCUCUCUCUUUUUCCAGGUAGUGUCCAUAUUAUCACUUGUUGGGGUAGUCAUGUUGGUGGCAUCCUUAAAGCAUGACCUAAAUAUUUCCAUCAUUGUCUUACCAUAUUUGAUGCUGUAGAUUGGUGUGCUCUGAGAAUUUCUGAUGUUGUAAUGCACUGUUUCUAAUGAACUCUGAAGAUAUUCCACAGGCAUUUACUUUGGAAUGAGUUGAUCUUUUUAUUAAUUUCUGUUGUAGAUUUCCAUGAGACUGCUCUAUAUAAAAGAGAACAGACAUGAUGCCAAUGUUUAAAACAAUAAAAAUAAAUUUAAAAAUAUCACAUUUGUGUGUCUGUACCAAUCAGACUACUUUUCCAAAUCUUUUCAAGUAUAUGAAAGUUGGUUGCUUUUUUUUUUUUUGGGUGGGGGGAGUGCUAUUUAGCAUAAUGUCUCCAUCACCACACCUCUCUCCCCCUAAGUAGGUAAAGUGACUUACUUCUUCUGGUGUUUCUUUAUCCACUCUAAUGAUGGCCAGAGACUUAGUCUUUCCCUUGUUGAUGAGCAAACCAACUUGUUUUGUUGUAUCGGCCAAAAGCUUCCAUUAAGUAAUGUGUUGACCUAAACAGGGCAAUGUCAUCAGUAAAAAUGAGGCCAUCCAAUGGUGCUUUAUCAUUUGUCCAUACAAAUUUCUUGGUUGCCUUCUGUGGUUACUUUCCUCAUGGCAUAGUCAAUGACCAGUGCAAACAAUAGUGGGGACAUAAUUCACCCUUGCCUUAUUCCAGUUGUCUCUAUAAACCAUUGGCGGACAUCACCAUCGGUGACUGCACAUUCCACAUUAUCAUAUGAUGAUUCUAAUUAUUUUUGCCUGCACUAUGCCAUAAUUCUCCAGAGACCACCUUUGUGUAUGCGGUCAAAAGACUUCUGGAAACCUAUACAAUUUAUCACAAGAGGUGUUUUCCAUCACACUUGGUCCUAUAAUAUGUCUGAGAACAACAAUAUGGUCUGCACAUGAUCUCAGUAGUCUAAA